UAGUUUUCUAAGUUUACUGCAAUCUCUGCACGGGGGGGAGGGAGACAGUGGGAGACAGAAACAGAUAUUACAAACAUGAAAGCAGGUAGUGUUUAGGGCAAGACUCCUUCCAGCUUCAACAACUGGUAACAAGUGACAGGACAAGAAGAAAUGGCCUCAAGUUGUUCCAGGGAAAAAACCUCUUCACAGAAAAGGUGGUCAAGAACUGAACCAGGCUGCCCACAGAAGUGAUUGAGUCACCAUCCUUGGAGGAAUUUGGGCCACAGAGAAGAAAAUUGAAUAUGAUGAAGAAUGAAGAAUCAAGUUUUAAGGUGGACAAUACCCGAGCCUCUCCCUUCUCCCGCUGCCUGCAGCCACUCAGCCCUGUUAUAAAGCCACACAGAACAACUCAAUUUGAUGAAGAAUUCAGAACGCACCUCUCACAUUUCCGCUAUGGUCCUCCUCUUGAAACCAUGGAAACAUUCCAAGGGUCCUUGGAAGGAGGAUCUCGUAAACGCAAGAGUAUGCCAACAAAAAUGCCUCCUCCCAUCACCCUUGAGGAUUCCCCAUCAUCACCAGAUAGACCUGAAGAUCACAAUGACAUAGGCUCUUCCAGUCUCCCCUUGGUGUUCCAACAGCCCACUCAACCCAAGUACAGUUCCCAGAUGAUUGACCUCUGCAACUUUGGUUUUCAAUUCUACAGAACGCUGGAGCAUUUUGGAGCCAAGCCCAUUAAGCAAGAACCAGUGAAGCCUAACAUGGCAUGGCCCAGUAGCCCAGCAUUCAUGCAGGCUCCUUACCCUUAUUAUCCUAAAAUCCACCCUGGAUUAAUGUUUCCCUUCAUUGUACCACCAAACUUUCAUUUCAGGAACCCUUUUCAAAUGAAAAGACCUGCAGAACCACCCUUCAGGAGGGCUGAAGUAAGAGAAAGUGGCGAAAACAAACAGAAAGUAGAAAGAGUAGAUGUCAACCUUCAGAUAGAUGACAGCUACUAUGUUGAUGUGGGAGGAGAACAGAAACGCUGGCAAUGUCCCAUGUGUGAGAAGUCCUACACAUCCAAGUACAAUUUAGUCACUCAUAUCUUGGGUCACAGUGGCAUUAAGCCACAUGCUUGCACCCGGUGUGGCAAGCUUUUCAAGCAGCUGAGCCACUUGCACACGCAUAUGUUGACACACCAAGGCACUCGGCCACAUAAGUGCCAGGUGUGCCACAAGGCUUUCACUCAAACCAGUCACCUUAAGAGACACAUGAUGCAACACAGUGACAUCAAACCUUACAACUGCAGGAUCUGUGGCAGGGGUUUUGCCUACCCCAGUGAGCUGAAAGCACAUGAGUCUAAGCACGAGAGUGGAAGAGAGAACAUUUGUGUCGAGUGUGGCCUGGACUUUCCAACUCUGGCCCAGCUGAAGAGACACCUAACCACCCACCGUGGCCCUAUACAGUACAAUUGCACUGAGUGUGAUAAGACCUUCCAGUACCCAAGUCAGCUGCAAAACCACAUGAUGAAGCACAAAGACAUCCGCCCAUACAUCUGCACCGAAUGCGGCAUGGAGUUUGUGCAGCCCCACCACCUGAAGCAACACUCCCUGACUCACAAGGGUGUGAAAGAGCACAAAUGUGGAAUUUGCGGCCGGGAAUUUACCCUGCUGGCCAACAUGAAGCGACAUGUCCUGAUCCACACCAAUAUCAGAGCAUAUCAAUGCCAUUUGUGCUUCAAGAGCUUUGUGCAAAAGCAGACUCUCAAGGCCCACAUGAUUGUUCACUCUGAUGUCAAACCCUUUAAAUGCAAGCUGUGUGGAAAGGAGUUUAACAGAAUGCACAAUUUAAUGGGACACAUGCACUUGCACUCAGAUAGCAAGCCAUUUAAGUGCCUCUACUGCCCCAGCAAAUUCACCUUGAAGGGGAACCUAACCAGGCACAUGAAAGUCAAACAUGGGGUCAUGGAAAGAGGAUUUCAUUCUCAAGGUUUUGGAAGAGGAAGGAUUGCUCUGUCCCAGACAAAUGUCUUGAGAAGCUUGGAACAGGAAGAGCCAUUUGAUCUUUCCCAGAAAAGCCAAGGGAAGGGAGUCUCAUUUCAUUCUGAUGGUGAGAGUGCCAAGGGAAGUUCAUGCCAGGAAGAAGAGGAAGACAACUGCUAUGAGGCAGAGCGGUACAGCCCUGCCACGUACCAUGAUGAUGACAACAAGCUGUACAUGGCUCAAGAUCUCUCUGGCAAACCUGAGUGCAUGAUGAAGGACUUCAGAGAGUCCUACUGCAAUGAGAAGGAAGAGGUGUUAAGUGAGGGAGGACUGGGGAAGAGAAUAGGAAAUUCAGACAAAGAGGAGAGACAUGGAGAGGGAGAGCUUGCAAACAACAAAGAACAUCUCAGCUUUAGAUCCUUUGAAAAGGCCAGACUUGAUCAGUCUCUCUCUGAUUACUUGUAUUUCAAGCACAGGAAUAAGAGUUUGAAAGAAUUGCUGGAAAGAAAAAUGGAAAAACAAACAAUGCUUAUAGGCAUUUAAAAUGGACAUCUUAAAACAGCUUGAAAAUGGUAACCAGAUAGAAUUUAACAUGAAUUGUAAGCUUCUAAAGCCUGGAAGUCUGUAGUAUGUAGAAAUAAAUAAGCCAAAUUAUUAAAAAUAAUUUAGGGUAAAAGACAUACAUUACAAUAAUAAAGCAGCUUGAGGUCACCAAGAAUUGCAAUAGAUACCGAAAAAUAACACUUUUGUAUUUAUCCAUUUAAUGUAUAACAGACAAUGGGUUGGGUACAGAAGUUUACUUCCUAUUAUAUGGGGAUAGAUAAUUACAUGCAAUUUUCUACUUAGCAGAAAGCAACAUACUCUAGCAUCUGAUUUAUUAUAUGACUAAAUAUAUAUGAACACUUCUAACCAUAUGCCUCAAAAAUAUCUGAAAAUACCAAGUAUUUCACAUUAUAAGCCAGAGUAUUAUUAAACAUGGCAUGCAUGAAAAUGCUGUCAACAUUCAAAACUAACACAGUCCAAAUACUUUGAUUUACUGAAGUGACUCUUAGUUCAACUACUUACAAUGAGAAAUGGGAAACCAAUUAAUAAGAAAUAAUAUUGUCUUGGGAGGCAGUAAAGGACAGUUCUGUAAGAGUUUGAAAGGACUGGAAUUUAUUGCAAAGGCUAGUCCUCUGGCAUGAGGAAUGUUUGUGCUUUGCUGUGUUUCUGCCGGUAUGGGAGCAUUCAGAAAUUCUUGAAGUGAAAUAGUAUAGAUUGUGUUGAUAUUUUGCUCUACUGCCUGCUUAGACCAAUACAUUUACUGGGCAGCAUCAGCAUGCAGCAUUCACAAUUUUGCCAUACUUACACAUAACACAGUAUGAGUUAUUUAAUUGAAAAAAUUAACCAGCUUUGCCAUUUAUUUCUUCAGUUUAUCAUGACUAGUAAGGAUAAUUUUGAAAUACACAGAUCUGAUAAAUUUUUGUUUCAGAAGGCAAAAAUCACCCUUAUAGAACAAGCAGUACCUCACAGAGGAAAAACUUCUUCUUAUUGGGGUCAGAAAUACUCUCUUAUUAAACACAUCUUGAGCAGUAAGCUGCAGGCCUUUCAGACAAAUUUCACUGAUGCUGUUUUUGCAGAGUCAAACUCAGCUUUUCAUCCUCUGAUUCCCAAAAAUAAUACGUUUGUAACAAACAUGGAAAAAACAUAUCCAUUAAACUUCAUUAAUUGCAUGAAUACUUUGAACAAUGUAUUAGUUCCUGCAACUUCAAGAAAGAAGAAAAGCAGCCCUGCACCAUCCUAUUAAUCAUGAAAUUUGUCUUAUGUCCUUCAGACAUCCCAGCUCAAAAUAUAUACGGUGCAUGUCUUCCAAAUAUUACUACCUUCUUCACUUACCUGCCAAGUUCUUGAUUUGAAAUGCAUUGCAAUUAUGCUCUCUAUGUAGCAAGUAAUAAUUAAAUAUAGUCGUCUACUUAUGGCUUGCUAAGACAAGUCAUUUAGCUUCAGCUCUCUGUCCCUAUAAGAAAACACACACCUUUCAAAUUAAUGAACUUGAUGCUUACCAGUUAAUCAGCAUUCACAGGGCAACAUCCUUAUUCCUCACAUAUUCCUCAUUUGUGUAGUCCAAGGCUGCAGGCAGUGCUUUCCUUUUUCAAGGCUCAAAUGUGGCAUAACACAUGCAGAAAUUUAUGCAGAAAAAGCUGUUGAUAAACGACAGAGUAACAUCCAGGUGACUCUUCUAAAUUAACUCUAUGUCUGAUGUGUAUAUUUUUAAAAAUAAAAAUGUUAUGCCAAGUUGAUCUGGAAGGUAGGUCACUUUCAGCCUAGAAUUUAAAAAGUCUUCGAAAGUGAGGUGUAUUUUAGAGGUACAUAGUCAUGUUUCUUCAGGGAUAAACUGUUCUAUCAUAAACAUUCCUCUUCCUUGCUUUAGCUGUAAGAUGAUGCCUAUUGAAAAAAAAGAACCAUCUUUCUUUCAAGGUAGAUACUGAGGACAAGCAAAAAAAUGAGAAAAUUUUUAGAGUAAUGAGUGUAACUGUAUUCUUUCUUAGACUAUAGGGGAAAUGGUCAGGUGGAAAUUCAGUAUGGCAUAGUAGAUGGUCUGUCAGAAAUGGGAGCAACUCCUUCAGUUAUAUUAUUGGCUCUAGCUUGCCUAUACCAGACAAAAGCUCCCAUUUGAGCGUGUAUACAGCCAAAAGCUGUAAGUAGCUAACUCUUAGAAUUGUCUCCCUCCUUGUGUUGUGGUUUCCAGCUGUGCACAGUUCAAGAUCAGUCGACUCCCCCUUUCCAGAUAUAUUAGUUCCCAUGAUAAGAAGAACAAGCAAGGAAUCAGGAAUCUCUUUGCAAUUUCUAGAAAAGUGAUCAUGCAGGUGGGUAGAAUUUAGAAAGUCCUUCACUCCUAUGGUAUAUAAAGCAGGAAAGUAUACAGCACUUCUAUUGCAAAGUCUUGUCUAUUAAUUGAAGAGUGCUAUGGGACAGCUAGACAAUCCUUAUCAAGAAAGAAACAAAAUAUUACAUAUCAUUUGCAGUCCAGACAAAUGGAGCAAAGGAGACAUUUUCAGCAGAGUUCCACUCCCAGCCACUAAUAUCAAUGAAUGUAUUCUAUCUGGGCUUAAGCAAAGCCUCUGAUACUAUCUCCCAUGGCAUUCUCCUGGAAAAGCUGGCAGCUCAUGGCUUGGGCAGAUUAACUCUUCACUUGGGUAAAAACCUGGCUGUAUGGCCGGGCCAGAGAGUAGUGGUUAAUGGAGUUAACUACAGUUGGCAGAGAGUCACCAGUAGUGAACCCCAGGGGUCAGUACUGGGCUGAGCCCUGUUUAAUAUCCUUAUUAAUCAUCUGGAUGAGGGGAUGGAGAGCCCCUUCAGUCAUUUUGCAGAUGACACCAAGCUGUGUGGGAGUGUUGAUCUGCUGGAGGGCAGGCAGGCUCUGCAGAGGGAUCUGGACAGGCUGGCUCAUGGGCCAAGGCUGUGCUGUGAGGUUCAACAAGGCCCAGAGCUGGGUCCUGCCCUUGGGUCACAAGAGCCCCAGGCAGUGCCACAGGCUGGGGCAGAGUGGCUGGAAAGCUGCCCAGAGGAAAAGGACCUGGGGGUGCUGGUGACAGCAGCUGAACAGGAGCCAGCAGUGCCCAGAUGGCCAAGAAGGCCAAUGGCAUCCUGGCUUGGAUCAGCAAUGGUGUGGCCAGCAGGAGCAGGGCAGGGAUUGUCACCUUGUACUGGGCACUGGUGAGGCUGCAUCUCAAAUCCUGUUUUCAGUUUUGGGCCCUUCAUGACAAGGAAAAUGUUGAGACGAUGGAGUGUGUCCAGAGAAGGUCAAUAAAGCUGUUGAAAGGUCUGGAGCACAAGUCCUAUAAAGAGUGGUUGAGGGAGCUGGGGCUGCUUAAACUGGAGGAAAGGAAGCUCUGGAGAACAUUAUUACUCUCUGUAACUACCUGAGAGAAGGCUGUAGCCAGAUGGGGAUCAGAUUUUUCUUCCAAAUAAUAGAAUAAGAGAAGUACUCAGGUUGCUCCAGGGAAGGUUUAGACUGGAUAUUAUGAAAAAUUUCUUCACAAAAAGUAUUGUCAAGUAUAGAUGAGUCUGCACAGGAAGUGGUUGAAUCACUGCCCGUGGAGGUGUUUAAAAUAUAUGUAGACAUAGUACUGAGGCACUCAUUUUAGUGAUGGACUUGGCAGUGUUAUGACUGGAUGAUCUUAAAGGUCUUUUCCAAUAUAGAUUCUAUGAUUCUAUGCCUUUCUGGAGGCGUGCUUGACGUCACCAGGGAGCACUGCAGGGAGAGAAAGAUAGAGUGACGUGUUCUGUUAUUUAUGUCAAUGCACAGUAUGCAUGGAGAAAAAAACAAGUUCUGUUUAGAUUCUUGAAUUGCCUACUUUUUUCUGCCUAGGAUAAAUACUCACUUGUAACUGUGUAAAAAAAGCAGAGGAGGAGAGUUUGAGAAAGGCAGUGGAUUUUAGAAAAGCAGUAGAUUUGAAUCAAACAUCAAGUACUCUGAGGUGCAUAUAUCUGCUUUCAGCCAAGAGACUUUACAUAAAACAUGCUAAAUCUGGAAAGUUUGCAAUGUGGGGUGUGUGUUGCACUCUGUUUACAAAGAAAGUACACAAAAUUCUCUCUCUUUGAAUACAGUAGGGACAAGCAACAGGAGGCAGUUUCUUUGUUCCGAAAAUCAAAUCUGUUUUAAGCCAGCAUUCACUCCAAACUUAGAACUCUCUCUCCCACUCUGGAUCUUUUCCAGGACCAUCCAUCCUGCUGGUACUUCCUUAGCUCGAUCUGGCUCUUUUUUGACUGCAUUUUUUUAAAAUUCGUGUCACACUCACACCUUAUGAUCUGGUCUCAACCAGUCAUCUGUCUGCAGAAUGUCUCAACGAAAGCUUUUUGACUGGUACAGACCAGGUUUUCUUUAGAAUCUUGCUAUCUGUGACUCGGAUAGCAGUUUCUACUGUUUCAUCUCUAAACAAAAAGGAUAUCUGAUAAUUUUCUUAGUGAGUUUUAUAUGAGAGUCUUCUAGCCAGUUUUACUGAGGUUUGAGAACCACCAAUAUGUCAAAUUAUGAACACUGAUAGUUACUAGCAUCUUUUAGCCUAGAAGUAUUGUAUUUGUUAAAAGAAAACAAAUUUAUGUAUGCAGGAGUUCAACUCGCAAGGUGGCCAUUGAGGAGAUGAAUAUUAACUAUAUACAAGUACAUAUGUAAAGAGGAGCAUUCUUAUAGAUUUAGAUAGUCAAAUGCUACAGUACUGUGAACAGGACUUGAAUAAAUUCCCUUUAAAUAUGAACUAAACUAGAUAAAAAAUUGAUUCUUAUAAUGAGUACACAACAAGGUUAAAUGCAACUUGCCUUAGGUACUUUAAAAUUAAUUAUGUUUCACAUCUUUGAGUGUCAUCUUUUGCAUCUAAACCUCUCUGACUCCUGUGAAAUGAAAUGUCUGCUCAGUGUAACAUUAAUAUAUACUGACAUACUUGAAGCAGUAUGUAAUAAGCAUUCAGCAUUGUUCUGAAAAAUUACUCCAGCUGAUGAUACACAAACCAGAAGGUAUAACAAUGUGACCUCUCUGUCAAUAUUGCUCUUAGCAGCAAUGGCUAUUAGCUGAGAGUCAAAACCACUCUGAUUUAGUAAAUGUUUGGCUGCUUGGAAGUGUGGCAUAUCCCUAGCUAGCCCAGUCUAGGAAUCAAACAGGAGAGUUACUGAAUUCAACACAGGGAAAAGGGUAUGAGUAAGCUGGUGUGUUGGUCCUAAAGCCAGCUGAAAUCAUUAGUGUAACUGAAGAGUAAAUUCAAACAUUGCCUCAGAAAAACGCUUUUUGAGCUCAAACUUUUCUAAGAUUCCCUUUCAGCAGAUGGAUGGCAGUAAUUGUCUUAGCCUCCAAAUCUACUCUCCCUGUUCCUAUGAUUCAUCCUCAGAGAAAACAGACAUACAUAUUAUAUUCUCUGCUGAUCGUGUAAGGAGACUCCUAGUGAGCAACCAGCUUACCUGGAUAAAAGGUUGUAGCAAAUAUACCAACUUCUUGUCCACAAAAUGUUUCAGUAUAAUGCAAAUCUAAGUCACACAUUAUGCUACAAAUAAAGAGCUACUGAUGUUUCUAUUCAGUGCCCAGAAACAUCUAUAAAUACAAUCUAUGCUACUUGAUGUAAUAUAAUUGCAUUAAGUAAUAUUUUCUUUUUUCAGAAUAGAUUCCAAAACACAGUCUGAAGCUUUUCUGAAUUAAAAACCUUUCUGACUGCAGAAAUUUUCACUGAAGCCAGUACAACUUUGCAGGAGAGAAACAGGUUGAUUUGAAACAACUUUUUUGAACAGAAGUUACUCAGAAAGUGAUUUUCAAUCGUAGUUACUCCUGACCUUAUAAAAACUUAACUGUUCUCUAUGACUUGAAAGCUGUGAUGGCUACAUGUACAGUACUGUGUUGCUUUGACUUUUCCCCUUCCUUUAAAAUGUAAACCCAUGACAGAUCCUUCUAUUUGUUUAUCUUUCACAGCACAGAGCCAUGCACGUUUCUUGUCCUAUACAAAUGAUUAAUAAUGUCAUGACAUUUUAGCCACUGACUAUGAAGAAAGACUUUUCUUCUUACCCUCUGCUUCAUAAUUUGGAGUCUCCCACCCCCAUCCAUGACACACAGGUCUGUCAUUCUCUUUCACUGUCAUUUCCUUCUAUUUUAUCUAAGUGUUUCAGGGUUUUCCCCAGGAAAUUCUUUUCUAUUCAUUUUUAGUGCUUUUAAGGGAGCAAACAAGAUGAAAGCUUAAGGAAAAAAGUUGUCUUUCUUGACAUUGUAAAUAUAGCUGAUGUUUCCCUUUUUGUAACAAUUUGGGAUGCAAUCUGAGAACUAUUAAGGUAAAUAGCAAAAAGACCUAGUUUUACAGCACUGCAAAUGCUGCUGAAACUGAGUAUGUUUCUAAAUUACCUGAAAAACAACACAAAAUCAGAGAAAUAGAAUAAGGGAUUUCAGUGGAUAUAUGAAAACUAAUUGCUCCUUUCCAAAGCAAGUAAUGUAAAACAUUGAACUAUUUGCUAGUUCUUAAUAAUACCUUUAAAUUCAGGAAUAUAACUUCAUUGCCUUUUUUAUGGUAUAAACCAGGAAUAAUAAUAUUAUGAUGAGUUUUUCUUACAUGAGAGGCUGUUAAUGAAACUCCAGUAAAAGAGAUGAGUAGUUUCCUUUUCUCUAGCUACUUUUGUGCAAUAAGCAGAUGAUAAAAUGUCUGUCCACGUGUUUUACUGGCACUAACAGCCUUGUGCAGACAAUUUGCUGAACAUUGCCUUCUAAAAUCCCCAUCUGAUAAAGAAACAGCAUGGUGAAAUAAAAGAUAAUCCUAUGGUAAUCAGGAAUUCCUUCACCUUCACUUAGGUCGUCCUAAACUAUGGUAAUUAAUCUAACAAGUGGGAAAAAUAGAGAUAUAGGAAUUCCCCUUGUUGCCAUGGAAACUACCAGUUGUCUGACUGACAAAGGAAAAUAGAUUCGUUGUAUUAAUAACUUCAGCAUCUGAAAAGAACAUAAUAUUUAUGGAGUUGGAGAAUCACAGGUUAAGUGAGGUUGGAAGGGACCUUUGGGGGUCACCUAGUCCAAUAUCUUGCUCAGAAUGGAUCCAACCAGAUCAGGUGGCUGAAGAUGUCAGUUGAGUUUUGACUACCUCCCAGGGAUGAAAAUACCAUAUCUCAAGGAAAUCUAUUCCAAUGCAGUGGAAAUUCUCCAAUGAAAAGAGUUUCUUAUUCUUGUGUUCUGAUUUGUUCCUGUUCCUCCAGUCCUGUCACUGUGAACUUCCAUGAAGGGGUUGGCUUUGGCUCUAUCAAAGAUAACUUCCAACCACUCAUCUCCUUCUCUGCAGUGUUGCCCCAGGACGUUGAACUUGUCCUUGUUAAACUCUCUGAGGCUCCUGACACCUCGUUUCUAAGGGCCCUCAAGAUUUUCAGCCUCCUCUCUGUAUGCCCCCCAGCAUAUGUGCCAUCCCCUGGCUUGAUAUCACUGGCAGACUUACUGUGAGUGAACUUCCAACCAUUAACAGAGACAUUUAGCAGACAGGUCUCAUAUAGGUUCCCUGAGGUGACACAGUGAGGAACCAGACAGCACUCUCUGUACUCAUGGUCACACAACCCUGAAGUCCUGCAAUCACGCUACUUUUCCACAUACUUGACCAUCUGCAUAUCCAGUCUCUAGCUCACCAGCACCUUGGGUGCUAGGACACUACAGGAGAUCAUGUCAAAAGCUUUGCAAAGUGUGGUGCAGCUAUCUCAUUAUAGGAGUCAGUAGGUUUGGGAGCAGGGACGUUUGAGCUGGUCAUUUUGAUUUAUUUUGAUUUCUUGAUUCUCACCUGUUUCUUUUCAUUUCAUUUCUAGUUUUUACCCUGAUAUUUACAUGCAGUUAAAACUUCUGGUUUCUGUUGUCCAUUGACACAGUACUGUCUGAAAUCUCAAUAGUCAUGUGAAAAGGGUAAAUGGAAGCAUAGGAGCCCAUGGAAGGAGACCUGUACUAUUUCAUGGCUCCUGCUAGUUGGCACAACAUGCAUAUGAAACAUAUUUUUCAGUCAGAAUGCUAUUUUUCUUUACUGGCCAGGUUUCCUGGCUGCCUGAAGCCUCUGGGAAGGCACUGUGUGUUCUCUUCUGGAAAGAAAUAAAUUUUUUUGCACUUGCAAAGCCAUGUGAUAGAAGAAUCUGUUUAAUCAUUGCUGAUAGACAACAAUUUGCAAAUACACUGUUCAGAAAGGAGGUCUUUCAUUUCAGCUACAAUAUAGUAAACUUCAACCACAAUGAAAACCUUUACUGAUUUCUAGGAAUUCCAUUAUUUGGUUAAAACAAAGGUUAAUUUUCUUCAUGGAAGACAGAACGUACUUUUGUAAAAAAAAUUUAGUUUUCUGCCCAAGACCAGUUUAGCCAGAAAAAAUUUGCAAUCUGUUGGCUGAGGCUAGGUGUGUAGAGUCCCCAGAACCUAGCUGAAAAUUAAGUCACAUCCUUUAAAAGUAAAGAUAGAACUGAUGACCUUUAUGUACCCUUUUUGUAAUGCCCCAAGGCACUCCUAAUAAAAUGUCUGCUUGCAAACCACUAUUGAAACUUUUGUUGCAGUUAUUUAAAUAAAUAUUUCAAGUAUUUGUAUGAAUACCCAAUACUACUACUACUACUACUGCUACUACCACCAACCUAUAAUAAUAUAAUUAUCGUAUAAUUAUAAUAUAUAAUUAUGAAAUAUUAUAUUAUUAUACAUUCAUUAUAUAAGUACACUAAUUUAUUACUAUAUAUUUAUUAUAUAACAAUAUAAUAGUAUUUAAUGGUAUUCUCUUUUAUAUAAUAUAAUAAUUAUUAUUAUUGUCAUAGUUGUUGUGGUAAAACACAUCAAACAGUGUGGAUGGUCCGUUUAUUUCCUUACAAAUCUCUGUAAUGUAGGAGACCAACACAGAUUUACAAAAGUUGACAUUGUUGUGCAUUAUGUCCAACAUCCAUGUGACCUCAUGAAUGACUGAUGUGCUCUAACAAAUCUCUAUUGCAUUCUUUCUCAGGAUGUCCUACUUACUUCCUUGAACUUUGCAGCAAAAGUAUUCUAGCUCCUGUGUCAUCAUUGUAUGACAUCAGUUCUUGCAGAUCCCUUAUUAACACAUAUCUAAGUAGUUCCCAUUUGAAUUUGUAUAAAUGUUUUAUGCUAUUCAGCUAAAAAUCACUUAAUUUUGCACCUGUCCCUUCCUCAGUUUAAAUAAUGCGCACAUAUUUCUCCUUCCUGCUAUUGUUCUCCCAUAUAGGAAAAGUAAGACAAUCCACAGUGGGUACCUUGUAAAGGAAAUUACAUUAAUGUACAUUGGAAAACUGCAUUAAUAAUAAAUGACUUAGCACGGAGUUGUCAACGUGUCUUGGUGUCAGUUUGCCUCUUAAGGAUGACUAUUUAUAUUGCACAGAUGCUUAUUCUCAGGGAAGCCACAUGCCCUCCAAUCACAUACAACAUAGAAAUAAUUUUAAGAGUACAGGUUCCAAAAACUUUGUUUUUAAAGUAUCAGUGGAAAGCUAUUGGAAUGGUUAAGGUUUUUUAGGUUUAAGGUGGAGUCUAAAGCAUCUCUAGUCACUCCUGUAGCAAAUGUGAGGGAGAACAUCAGUACCUCUCUGGACAAGCUGCAGAUUCCAUAUGAUACCAGCCUCCACAGUUGAGCAUCCUAAAUAUGUUGGAAAAAACCCAUUUUCAUACAAUGAUAAAGAGCCUUGGGGAGAACAUUAAGGACAUAAUUCCUUCAGUGAUGAAACCUCUGUAACUAAGGUGAUGUAUGAAGGUCUGUUUUAGUCCUGCUGGAGAGACAAGUUUCAAGAACAGGGAACUCUGACUUUCUGAAUUUGCAUUUAGUGAAGACAAGUUUCAGUUUUGUUCACCGGAAUAUAUUUGUACAGCAUGUGAGCAUUUUUCAGACAUUUCAGGAGUUUUUCAUGGUAAAAUAUUGCUCACAUAGUAUUUGACUCCUUGCUGCUGAGAACCGUGGACAUCCAACUUGGGGCACCAAUACAAAACGGUGUAACAUAUAUUCAGAAUAGAAAACCCCACCAUGUUUAGUACAUAUGAUAGGAUUUUUUUUUCUUUAUUUAUUUAUUUAGCAUUUUGGUAAUGUGUGUACUGUGAGUCAAGAGGAGUAAAUAUCUUUAAUCACAAAAUUCUUCUACUUGCUCUUUUAUGUGCAGAGGUGGAUGGAUGAA